rnacentral:rRNA from 1 species
UACGUAGGGUCCGAGCGUUGUCCGGAAUUAUUGGACGUAAAAGGGCUCGUAGGCGGUCCGUCACGUCGGGAGUGAAAAACUCGGAGCUCAACUCCGAGCCUGCUUCCGAUACGGGCAGACUAGAGGUAGGCAGGGGGAGAGCGGAACUCCUGGUGUAGCGGUGGAAUGCGCAGAUAUCAGGAGGAACACCGGUGGCGAAGGCGGGUCUCUGGGCCGAUGACUGACGCUGGAGGAGCGAAAGCGUGGGGAGCGAACG